UUCCAUCACUCAACACGUUAAAGCAGAAUCAGAUCAAAUGUACUGUUUCAGGGGAAAACCGUUCAGAAAGCUCGUUGGUACUCGGCUGACUGGAAAUGCAAACAAACAUCGGACCAGAACGGAGGGGAAGUGAGCUGAAGUCAUUAUCUUUGGACCUCAACAGCUGUUGAGUUCGCCCACAGCUUCAGUUAACACAGCUAGAAAGUUCUGACCAGGCCUGAAGUCCAGAACCUCCAGGGUCACAUAAAGGUCAGCCUUUAGUCUGAUGGAUUACUGCAGCACCGCUCUCAUAGCUGAUCCAGAGUGCUGAUGCUCACCAGAACUACGAGAGUAGAGCGCAUCGCCCCGUUCCUGCACCGGCUUCCUGUAGCUCCGAGAAUAGACUUCAGACUACUCCUACUAGUUAAUGACUGAAUGGCCUUGCACCGGUGAAGCUCUACUGUCACUACGCCAACCCCCCAGACCACUCAGGUCCACUUACUCCAGCCUACUCUGCAGAACCAGAACCAAGCAUGGAGCAGCAGCUUUCAGCUUCGAUGCUCCUCUCACCUGGAACAAACGUCCAGACUGCGAAGCUUUUAAAUGUCGGCCCGUCUGUUCAGAGCUGCCAGUGUUUUUACUUUAUCCCCUAAUCAAGCUAAUCACCGGGAACCACCUUACUGAUAAAAGUGUGCUAGCGUUAGCCUCCCUUUGGGCUAACCCUUCCGCAUGAAAGCACAUCAGCAGAAUGAACAGAAAAUGGGCUCGAUUGUGUUUUAAGGAGACAUUAUGACUUUCCUUAAUUUAUAUGGUUCUAUGGUCAAUACAAAACAAGGUUAAGAGGUUUGUUGCGCUAAAUCCCGCUCACGUUUCAGUACCUUCCAGAAUGAGCCAUUUCAGGGUUCUAGAUCUGGCCACGCCCACCUCCCCCACUGCCUCAGGCUACUAUUGACCCUUUGAGCCGACGUCACCUAAUCACGUGGGCCCACCAUGGUGAACGGCAAAAGCAUGUAAACAGCGAGCGACACGAGUACUAAACAAAGGGAAAAGUAGAGCCUGAAAUUGUUUUUGCAAUCAAAACAAAAACAAAACUCCUCCAGCAUUCCUUCAACUAGUUCAUGGCCAGUUCAGUUAUCAGAAGAAGUAGCGCAUCUAGCGGGGCUCAUAGAGAGCGGUAUGUUAACUAGCUUACCAACGUUAGCUUACGUUCUCUCUGCAGCUGUUCACGAUGUAAACAUGUUGCUGACUUUGCCUAAAUUCACCCCUCUGGAUUUAUAACUUUAUGUUAUAAACAGCGUUUCACUUUACACCAAAGCUGAUUGUUAAAAAGUCCGGAUCCCUACCAGCUUCUGUUGCUGGUGGUGUUACCGGGUUCAGCUGCUGAGAAGAUCUCUGAACAGCGACGCUCAUAUAAAUAACGUAAUUUUAACACACGUAAUCAUACAUCGGAGCUUUGUUAAUAUUCUUAUAUUGUUAAUAAUUGUCUCGCUUUACACUACAGUGGACGGAGCGCAUCCUCCGUGGUGAAAUACCGUCCAUCAGGAUAGUACAAACAAACUAGGGCUGCACAAUAUAUCGAAAAAUUAUCGUCAUCGCGAUAACAGGACGUGCGAUAGGCCCAUCGCAAAACACGUCAAAAACGGCGAUAAAUGUUUGGUUCAAACAUUUCCAUCCGUGUCAUACAUCAACUUUUUGUAAACCAGCUGUUUUUUACGCGGAAGUAUUAUUUCACCAAUCAAAUGUAGCCCUUCUGAUAUGCGGCCAAUCAGAUGGGUCCGUUCACGUAAUACGCCCGCCCCCUACGUAGACCCUUUUGGAAAGCAACACCUGAACUGAGUUAGCGGCGCCGUUCCCUUGUUCGUCAUGCUGGCUCAGAGCAACGAACGCACUUUGUGCUGAUGUUUCUGGAAUCAGCGCUGCUUUCAAACGUGAACGUGAGUCCGCUCGGUGUCGUUAAUCAUUUUUACCGGGCUGACUCCGACACGUGCCGGUGAACCAACCCACCUUCAUGUCCCUAGUGUUCCACUGGGUGGUGAUGUUAGCCCCAGGCUCCGGUUAGCUUCCAGCUAAAAGGCUACAGCACUCUCCUCCCAGGCCCACCCUGCUAAAGAGGGCCUGGAAAAGUUCCCCCACACAUCAAAGUGAUUUUUCAUUUAUGAGCUUUUAUAACCUUGUUAAUCAGGAUAGUUGAUUUGCUGCUGCACAUAAACUGUCAGUUAGAAGCUCUGCUAGCCGGUUAUCUUAGAGGAGCUAGUUCAAUUUGUUAGCUUGUUAUCAGAAUCAUAGUUGCAGUUUCAUCAUCUGAGCUGCUUUUUAAGAUCCAGGUAAACUUGUUCAAUUUGGGGUUAAAACCAAACAUUUUCAUAUAUUUUACAUGUAGUUUUUUUUGCCAGUUCCUCUUCUGAAAGGUAGACAAUUGUUUUUCUCUUUCCCUCAGAAAAUCUUAAUAUUCUCCUAGUUUGGCCCAGCACAGUUCACUUCCCAGUUGCAGCAACAACCUUCUAUCAUAACCACAUAAGUGGAGAAAAUGCUCAGUAGCAAUGAGAGAAUUUGCUGUUGCAUUUAAGUGAUGUUAAAUAUUAUUUAACAUUUAAACUAUUUAUUCUAAAAACCCUGGUAAGGGAUGUUUUUCUGUAUUUGGAGCAUCAGAAAAAGUUUUAUGGUGGAGGUGAUGUUUUAAAGUCACUGAGAAACUGCAUGCAUGCAGUUUGUUGUUUUGCUGCUAAUACAGUAGCAGGUGCAGCUGCUAAUACAGUAGCAGGUGCAGCUGCAUGUUUUUGCAAUAAAAAUGUUAUGUUGUAAUGGAAUUCAUGCAUUAGUUGUUGUUUGCUUUGAGCCCAGAGCAGACGUCACACGCCAGACGACAUCAACACUGCAUACUUUAGUAUUUGUUCAUUUAUCGCGAGUAAUAUCGAUAUCGCAGUAUUAAGCACUGUUAUCGAAUAUCGCAGGUUUUCCCAAUAUCGUGCAGCUCUAUCACAAACACAUCACAUUUAUCCCUGUUCCUGUCUUCCUUGUGAAAUAAAUGAACGUUAAUCGUACCCGGUAAAAACAUGCUCGCUGCUAAUCUGAGGGCUGCUAGACCGCUUGAUGGAUCGCUGCAGUUCAUCUCCGUCCUCAGUCUCCAUCAAAGUUAUUAAAAAGAAAAAACGAGUUGUUUACGUCCUUGUCUCUUAGUGCAGCCGACCGCGCAGCAAGCUGAAACCAUUUUACUGUCAAAUCAACUAAAUAAAAACGAUAAAAAACUACUAACUGGCUUGUUUGACUAGCUUCACUGGAGUUUCUACGGGUGUAAACGGUCUUUUUGCCGUCCAUCAUGGUGAAGGGGGCCGUCACAUGAGUGGCGUGACGUCACGUGCAAAGGGUCAAAAAGCCGAGAAGCUCCAAUAGGAGGGGCUUGGAAUAGAGCUGUUCCUCCACCCUGGAGAGGUUAGAGGAGGUUCUAUGCUAGUUUUCCCAGUUGUGACAUCACAAAUGUGGACAUUUUGAAACGGCUUGUUUUAGGUUGGGGCUGGGCAAUAAAUCGAAAAUUUAUCAUCGAAUUUUCUGACUCCCAUUGAGAUAAUUUUUCCCAUGUCAAGAAAUUUGAUAAUUAAAAAAAAAAUGAAAAGGUGUGUGUAGGUUGGCAACAUUCAUGAAGCUGCACCACCUUAGGUCGUUAAAAAUGUGACUGGACGAACACACGUGACAGCCCCAUCUAGUGGACAACUGUUGUUUCUGCGCACGCCUGUAGCUAUCGUCCAUUUAUCGUUAUCCAAGUUACAUCCUCAAUAUAUCGUGAUAUUGAUUUUAGCCCGUAUCGCCCAGCCCUGUUUUAGUUACAUAGUUCCUAAAACCGAUCGCUGACAGAAAACAGAUGGAUGGAUUUUUUUAUGGAGGCAACGGAGAUCCACAGCAGCUCAAAAAGGAAGGAAGAGGUGAGUUUAGCAUUAAAUUGGGAUUGAGACGACCUCUGUUGGGAUUAGAGAUUUUGGUAGCAUCGAUCAUCCCUACAAGAUUAUCUAGUUUAAAUGUUGUAGGAGCUCCCCGUGGGUCUCCGCGUUACGCAGACCAACAGACUUCAACCGGACGACUCGCCCUGGAUCUUCUGCUUCCCCUCUACAUGCUGCUAAAUAAAAGAAAGAGGCCGAUCGCUGCCUUGCUCAUGGAUCAUGUAAGGAUACAGAGCAGAAAUCCACUGGGAGGUGGACGCAGAGACAAAGAAGCAGGAGAGGCUCCACAUAGCCAUGGCCACUGGUGUCCUCUGAGUGAAGUUGGACAAGGACAGCAGCACCCAGUCUCGCACCAUUGAGGACUGGCCCGUGGCGUGGAGCGUCUGGAACACCUGGGUGGGCGUGCACAGAAGGGAGGAGUCUAUAAAAACAACAGCUCGGACUGCUUUUCUCUCGUUUCGGGGCUGCUGCUGCUGACCUUGUAAACCACAGUGGCCAUGAACUGCGGGUACGGCUGCUGAUUGGACAGGAACUCGCCGAUGACUUUGUUCAUGACGUCCUGCGGAGGGAAGAAGUCGUCCAGGAACUGGGGCAGAAUCCUGGACACGACCCGAGCCUCGCUGGGUAAACCUUUCCUGAUCCUGCAGGAACAGGAAACCCCGGCGUGAUAGUUAGGACACAAAAAACCACUUCCUGUCUUUUCUCACCACUUUGACUUUAAAAUAAAAAAACCUGGAAUGAU